GCCAUAUACUGCAGUUUUUGCUUUUCUUUUCCCCAGUCAUUGCACCAAUUCCAGUCAAAUGAUUUCAAAGCUCAGCUCUGUAGUGUCUUUUGGCAAUGGAUUGGAGGAAUAUGUCCUAUAUCUGGAGUCUAUAUUGCUUGGGACUAUUUAACCUUGGAGCCUAAAGAUGACACAACAGAUGGCAAAGUUAAGCAAAAGAAAGACACAGGUUCCGCUUGGUUUGGUUUGUCAAAUGCAGAAGAGCACAAUGGAUUUUCCACCAGUUUAGGUUUCAGACCUAGAAAG